rnacentral:lncRNA from 1 species
AAACAUUCUCCUUUCCUUCUGAAGGUUUUAUGGAUAAUAUUCAUUUAGCCUUCUGAGCUUUCUGGGCAGACUUGGUGACCUUGCCAGCUCCAGCAGCCUUCUUGUCCACUGCUGGUCUCAAAUUUCCACAAGGAGAUAUCAAUGGUGAUACCACGUUCACGCUCAGCUUUCAGUUUAUCCAAGACUCAGGCAUACUUGAAGGAGCCCUUUCCCAUCUCAGCAGCCUCUUUCUGCAUCUUUUCUUUUCCCAUUUUGGCUUUUAGGGGUAGUUUUCACGACACCUGUGUUCUGGCAGCAAACCCGUUAAUUUUUAAUAGUUUUUUU